rnacentral:rRNA from 1 species
AACGAACGCUGGCGGCAUGCCUAACACAUGCAAGUCGAACGAGCCCUUCGGGUCUAGUGGCGCACGGGUGCGUAACGCGUGGGAACCUGCCCUUAGGUUCGGAAUAACUACCCGAAAGGGGUGAUAAUACCGGAUAAUGUCUUCGGACCAAAGAUUUAUCGCCCUUGGAUGGGCCCGCGUUGGAUUAGCUAGUUGGUAGGGUAAAAGCCUACCAAGGCGACGAUCCAUAGCUGGUUUGAGAGGAUGAUCAGCCACACUGGGACUGAGACACGGCCCAGACUCCUACGGGAGGCAGCAGUGGGGAAUAUUGGACAAUGGGGGAAAGCCUGAUCCAGCAAUGCCGCGUGAGUGAUGAAGGCCUUAGGGUUGUAAAGCUCUUUUACCCGGGAUGAUAAUGACAGUACCGGGAGAAUAAGCUCCGGCUAACUCCGUG